rnacentral:lncRNA from 1 species
AUGGGAGACAGCAAAGCAAUGCCCAGGAUGCAGCUGUUCAAGCCAGCCUCGCCUCACGGAGCAUUUCUUUCUCACCUGUCCAUGGUUCUCUCUGUGUGUCUGUGGUCAUUUUUAAACUGCAGGGCUGGGAGGCCUGGCCAUUUCACCGGGAGUGCUCACCCUGGGAGCACCAGUCUCUGCCUUGGGAGGAAGCAAGCUGCCACCAGAAUAAAAGCGGGGUGGAGCUGCUCCCACUCCAAGGCAAGAGCCUGCAAGGCCCAUCCUUUGGGGACUCAUCUUCUGUGUGAAGGCACAUUGUCUGGCACAGGAAGAGGGCUUUGCUUUUGCGCUGGUUUGUGUCCACAAAGGAAAGGCAUGCAGAAGGCAGCACCAUCACCCCAGGCCUGUAGUUGGGAGUCCAUCAGCUUUCCCCACAGUGAAAGUGGUUAAGGUCUCCUUAACCAAAGGAAAACAGCACCACUACAGAUGUACAGAACAGCAAUUUAUCCACCAGGGCCUUCUGACACACUUUGCCCAUUAUGUGUCCAGAGGACUCCAAGUACUGACUUUACAUGUCCACAAGUGUGGCCAAAGCUACACAUACAGAGCAACACCAAGUUCUCACGGUGUACCAAGAGAAACAAAGAUUUAAUAACAUUAUUUCUUAGACAACUGUUGGGGAUUGUUAUAAAUCUGUAUUAUUAUACAGAUAUUAUAUAUUGGCUUUCGCAAGUAUUAGGAUGAAUAUUAUAUGUUAAAUACUUUUUGGCUAUGUAUUGGUGUCUAAAAAUGCUCGCUCGCGGUGAGAGACUUCUCCAGGGUCAAGCUGUUCAAGUAUAAACAAUUUAUUAUAACGGUAAAGAGAGGGACCUGUGUCCGCCACCAGCCUUGGCAUUCACAUGGUCCAGGGGAGGGGAGAGAGAGCGGGGAGAGCAGGAGAGGAGAGGCUGGAAAAGGGGAGGAGGGAGGGAGUAAGAGAGCAAGGGUCUUGUUACAAUCCAUUAUAUGCUUUCCUAUAGAGAAUAUUCUAAUUCUUAGUAACCAAUCACUAUGAGAUACACCCACUAAAGAAUUUACGUACAGCCUAUGAGCUUCCCCAUAUUAACAUACAGUGUUGCAUUUUAAACUCUAAAAAGCUUUACAAGUUCUUUCCUUGCUUCUUGUCCUUUGGACUUUCUAUCAGCAGAAGAACAUUGUUUUACCAACCAGGGAUUCUUCUUUAGCUGGCUAGGCUAUUGUUCUUUGGUCAUAUAGCAACUAGUACCCAGCAUCUUAUGACUCAAAGCAAGCUUUCAUUUCUAUUUCGAUUCUAGGCUUCAUACCUUCAGAAUCUUUUGUUAACCAAUCAUAUUCACAAGGUUUCCCUGUUUCAUCUUUCCCAACACUAUGUAUGUACUUUUCCUCUUGCUAAUGAGAGGAAUGAUAAACUUGUCUUUACUAACAAGCUGUG